UGAGGAAUAUUGCACAAUGGGCGGAAGCCUGAUGCAGCAACGCCGCGUGAGGGACGAAGGCCUUCGGGUCGUAAACCUCUUUUCUGAGGGACGAGGAAGGACGGUACCUCAGGAAUAAGUCUCGGCUAACUACGUGCCAGCAGCCGCGGUAAAACGUAGGAGGCGAGCGUUAUCCGGAUUUACUGGGCGUAAAGCGUACGCAGGUGGUUUCGUGAGUCGGACAUGAAAGCUCCCGGCUUAACUGGGAGAGGUUGUUCGAUACUGCGGGACUUGAGGUUGGGAGAGGGACGUGGAAUUCCCGGUGUAGUGGUGGAAUGCGUAGAUAUCGGGAGGAACACCAGUGGCGCAAGCGGCGUCCUGGCCCACACCUGACGCUGAGGUACGAAAGCGUGGGUAGCAA
rnacentral:rRNA from 1 species